GGCCCCAUCGUCUAGAGGCCUAGGACACCGGCUUUUCACGCCGGCAACGCGGGUUCGAAUCCCGCUGGGGUCA
rnacentral:tRNA from 2 species